AUGGUGAAUAAGAUGAAUGAUGAGAUUGUUGUGAUUUUUACUGCAUCUCACACGUCUGCUGCUGAAACUGGUCCCACAGUAAAGCCCUCAGUGUCUCUGCUGCCCCCCUCUUCUCUGCAGAUCUCUGGAGACUCAGCCGCACUGCUCUGUCUGCUCAGCUCUUACUCUCCACAGGGGGCGCUGGUGAGCUGGACACUGGACGGCUCAGAGGUCACCGAGGGGGUUGUGACCAGCGCAGAGAGCGAGCAGGACGGCCGCUACAGCCGCAGUAGUGUCCUGACCCUCAGCAAAGCACGCUGGGAAGAGGGAGAGCUGUACGUCUGCAGAGUAACACAUGAUGGAGCUCCUCAUGAAGCCUCGUUCCACAAGAGUCGCUGUUAGUCACUCGCAGAGCUGAUGUUUCUCCAGUGAGCGCUGCUCUCUCCUGAAGAUGAGUGUAUCUGAGUGUCCUGUGUCAGGCAGGAUUCACAUGAGUCUAGUGCUGCAGCUGUAGUCAUUUACAACUCAAUACUGAAAGAGAGCUCUAGUAUCAAAGCACUGACUGAUCUUUCAAUCUGCUGUGUUUGCUGCAACAUUCAAUAAAGCUUCUCAACAAACUCCA